AGUUAAUGACAGAAGAACACUCCAAGUCAUUGAAAGUUUAGAGAGUUUUUGUUGCAGCAAACAUUUAUGAAAUCUAAGGAGUGGUCAGACAUGUGGACAAGACGUUUCCAUAAGUAAGAAAGACGAGGACCUGAAGAAACAACCUCAGAGAUCAGGGAUGACCCUUUCGAACUAAGGUCAGCUCCAACAUCAUGUCAGAAGUUUUAACACUGAACAAUAUGCGAGUUCUAUAACUUCAUGGUACUCAACAGACUGAACCAAAUUGACUGAAGGUUGGCAUCUGUGGUAUGGGGACCACUGAAAGA